UACGUAGGGGGCAAGCGUUGUCCGGAUUUAUUGGGCGUAAAGAGCGUGUAGGCGGCCUUACAGGUCAGCUGUGAAAACUCGAGGCUCAACCUCGAGACGUCGGUUGAAACCGUAUGGCUAGAGUCCGGAAGAGGAGAGUGGAAUUCCCGGUGUAGCGGUGAAAUGCGCAGAGUAUCGGGAAGAACACCCGUGGCGAAGGCGGCUCUCUGGGACGGUACUGACGCUGAGGAGCGAAAGCGUGGGGAGCCGAACAGG
rnacentral:rRNA from 1 species